AUCCAACUGACGGGUCCCAAUUAGGACGAAACGCGCGUACUGGGU
rfam:Schistosoma curassoni strain Dakar, Senegal genome assembly, scaffold: SCTD_scaffold0000446